rnacentral:lncRNA from 1 species
UCCUUGGACAAUGGCUGCCCGUUUAGGGUUGUGACCCAGGAGUCGCUGUGGUUAUCAACUGCGAGAGCUCAAACGGACACAUGAGAAGCAGCUUUGUUUAGCGUCCUUGACAUAACUAACCACAUAUUAACAACAGAGCCUUGUGGUAUAGAGGCUCCUGUUUGUUCAGAAUCUUAAUAGGUGGGCUUUGUGCACAUGGAUUUCUAAUACUGCUUACCCUGUAUUUUAAGUCAAAGAGGGUCUUUGUGUGAAGGAUUCUCCACCUCCUUUUCCCUUUCUACGAAGGAGGCACAAAGCUGAUCAUUCAGUGGAGUCCAUUCUCACCAUGAGAAGAACAUUCUACUGUCAGCAGGCAGAGUGAGGAUGGAGACAUCACUGAUUCACUUGGCUAGUUCCAUGUGGGCAUUCCAUGUCCAUGGAUGAAUGGAUAAGUAACUGAUCCACAAGAGGAGGGCUCACGGGCAGAAGAGAUUUGCCUUGCCUCAGAUGACACUUUGGACUGUGGACUUUUGAGUUAAUGCUGAUAUGAGUUAAGACUUUGGGGGACUUAGGAAGUCCCAUGUUGGGAAGGCAUGAUUGGUUUUGAUAUGAGAGGACAUAAUAUUUGGGAGGGACCAGGGGUGGAAUGAUAUGAUUUGGCUGUGUUCCUACACAAAUCUCAUCUUGAAUUGUAGAUCCCAUAAUCCCCAUGUGUCGUGGGAGGGACCCUGGUGGGAGGUAAUUGACUUAUGGGGGUGUUUUUCCUGUGCUGUUCUUAUGAUAGUGAAUAAGGCUCACAUGAUCUGAUGGUUUUAUAAAUUACACUUUCCCUGAACAUAAUCUCUUGCCUGCUGCCAUGUAAGCUGUGCUUUUGCUCCUCCUUUGCCUUCCACCAUGACUGUGAGGCCUUCCUAAGCCAUGUGGAACUUUGAAUCCAUUAAACCUCUUUAUCUUUAUAAAUUA